GGACCCGCACAAGCGGUGGAUUAUGUGGAUUAAUUCGAUGCAACGCGAAAAACCUUACCUACCCUUGACAUGUCGCAAAGCCCGAUGAGAGUUGGGUGUGCCCGAAAGGGAAUGCGAACACAGGUGCUGCAUGGCUGUCGUCAGCUCGUGUCGUGAGAUGUUGGGUUAAGUCCCGCAACGAGCGCAACCCUUGCCAUUAGUUGCCCCAUUCAGUUGGGCACUCUAAUGGGACUGCCGGUGACAAACCGGAGGAAGGUGGGGAUGACGUCAAGUCCUCAUGGCCCUUAUGGGUAGGGCUUCACACGUAAUACAAUGGCGCGUACAGAGGGUUGCGAAGCCGCGAGGUGGAGCCAAUCCCUAGAAAGCGCGUCGUAGUCCGGAUUGCAGUCUGCAACUCGACUGCAUGAAGUCGGAAUCGCUAGUAAUCGCGGAUCAGCAUGUCGCGGUGAAUACGUUCCCGGGUCUU
rnacentral:rRNA from 1 species